rnacentral:rRNA from 1 species
GAUGAACGCUGGCGGCGUGCCUAAUACAUGCAAGUCGAGCGAACAGACGAGGAGCUUGCUCCUCUGACGUUAGCGGCGGACGGGUGAGUAACACGUGGAUAACCUACCUAUAAGGCUGGGAUAACUUCGGGAAACCGGAGCUAAUACCGGAUAAUAUAUUGAACCGCAUGGUUCAAUAGUGAAAGACGGUUUUGCUGUCACUUAUAGAUGGAUCCGCGCCGCAUUAGCUAGUUGGUAAGGUAACGGCUUACCAAGGCAACGAUGCGUAGCCGACCUGAGAGGGUGAUCGGCCACACUGGAACUGAGACACGGUCCAGACUCCUACGGGAGGCAGCAGUAGGGAAUCUCCCGCAAUGGGCGAAAGCCUGACGGAGCAACGCCGCGUGAGUGAUGAAGGUCUUCGGAUCGUAAAACUCUGUUAUUAGGGAAGAACAAAUGUGUAAGUAACUAUGCACGUCUUGACGGUACCUAAUCAGAAAGCCACGGCUAACUACGUG